AGCGAACGCUGGCGGCAGGCUUAACACAUGCAAGUCGAGCGGGCGUAGCAAUACGUCAGCGGCAGACGGGUGAGGAACGCGUGGGAACGUACCUUUUGGUUCGGAACAACACAGGGAAACUUGUUCUAAUACCGGAUAAGCCCUUACGGGGAAAGAUUUAUCGCCGAAAGAUCCGCCCGCGUCUGAUUAGAUAGGUGGUGAGGUGACGGCUCACCAAGGCGACGAGCAGUAGCUGGUCUGGGAGGAUGAUCAGCCACAUCGAGGCUGGGACACGGCCCAAACUCCUACGGGAGGCGGCAGUGCGGAAUCUUGGACAAUCGCGGCAGCCCUGAACCAGCCCUGCCGCGUGAGUGAUGAAGGCCCUAGGGUUGUAAAGCUCUUUUGUGCGGGAAGAUAAUGACGGUACCGAAAGAAUAAGCCCCGGCUAACUUCGUG
rnacentral:rRNA from 1 species